rnacentral:rRNA from 1 species
CUUGGUCAUUUAGAGGAAGUAAAAGUCGUAACAAGGUCUCCGUUGGUGAACCUGCGGAGGGAUCAUUACCGAGUUCUUACCGAACCCUACCCUUGUGUGCUACGCUACCACCCUGCUUUUACUCGAGAAGUCCCGGCUUCACCGCCGGGGCUAUCAGUGUAAAAAACAAACCUCUGGAUUAUUAUUAUCUCUCUGAGACUUUUUACAAAAGAGUCAAAACUUUCAACAACGGAUCUCUUGGUUCUGGCAUCGAUGAAUAACGCAGCGAAAUGCGAUAAGUAAUGUGAAUUGCAGAAUUCAGUGAAUCAUCGAAUCUUUGAACGCACAUUGCGCCCGCGAGAAUUCUGGAGGGCAUGCCUGUCCGAGCGUCAUUUCAACCCAUUAGGCCUAUUGGUUGUGUUGAAGCCCUGCGGCCGCCGAACCCUCUCAAAAUUACUGGCGGGCUCGCUAUGACGCUGAGUGCAGCAGUAUUCUUCUCACUCCUGUUGUGUAGCGGGUAACCAGGCGUGAAAGUCUCUUAUAUUCUGGUUGACCUCUUAUCAGGUAGGAAUAUCCGGUGAAGUUAAGCAUAUCAAUAAGCGGAGGA